AUUGAACGCUGGCGGCAUGCCUUACACACGCAAGUCGAACGGUAACAGGUCUUCGGAUGCUGACGAGUGGCGAACGGGUGAGUAAUACAUCGGAACGUGCCUAGUAGUGGGGGAUAACUACUCGAAAGAGUGGCUAAUACCGCAUGAGAUCUACGGAUGAAAGCAGGGGAUCGCAAGACCUUGUGCUACUAGAGCGGCCGAUGGCAGAUUAGGUAGUUGGUGGGAUAAAAGCUUACCAAGCCGACGAUCUGUAGCUGGUCUGGGAGGACGAUCAGCUAGCCUGGGACUGAGACCCGGCCCCGACUCCUACGGGAGGCAGCAGUGGGGAAUUUUGGACAAUGGGGGCAAGCCUGAUCCAGCAAUGCCGCGUGCAGGAUGAAGGCCUUCGGGUUGUAAACUGCUUUUGUACGGAACGAAAAGCCCUGGGUUAAUACCCUGGGGUCAUGACGGUACCGUAAGAAUAAGCACCGGCUAACUACGUGCCAGCCGCCGCGGUAAUAC
rnacentral:rRNA from 1 species